rnacentral:rRNA from 1 species
AGAGUUUGAUCAUGGCUCAGAUUGAACGCUGGCGGCAGGCCUAACACAUGCAAGUCGAGCGGUAGCACAGAGAGCUUGCUCUCGGGUGACGAGCGGCGGACGGGUGAGUAAUGUCUGGGAAACUGCCUGAUGGAGGGGGAUAACUACUGGAAACGGUAGCUAAUACCGCAUAAUGUCGCAAGACCAAAGUGGGGGACCUUCGGGCCUCAUGCCAUCAGAUGUGCCCAGAUGGGAUUAGCUAGUAGGUGGGGUAACGGCUCACCUAGGCGACGAUCCCUAGCUGGUCUGAGAGGAUGACCAGCCACACUGGAACUGAGACACGGUCCAGACUCCUACGGGAGGCAGCAGUGGGGAAUAUUGCACAAUGGGCGCAAGCCUGAUGCAGCCAUGCCGCGUGUGUGAAGAAGGCCUUCGGGUUGUAAAGCACUUUCAGCGGGGAGGAAGGCGUUAAGGUUAAUAACCUUGGCGAUUGACGUUACCCGCAGAAGAAGCACCGGCUAACUCCGUGCCAGCAGCCGCGGUAAUACGGAGGGUGCAAGCGUUAAUCGGAAUUACUGGGCGUAAAGCGCACGCAGGCGGUCUGUCAAGUCGGAUGUGAAAUCCCCGGGCUCAACCUGGGAACUGCAUUCGAAACUGGCAGGCUAGAGUCUUGUAGAGGGGGGUAGAAUUCCAGGUGUAGCGGUGAAAUGCGUAGAGAUCUGGAGGAAUACCGGUGGCGAAGGCGGCCCCCUGGACAAAGACUGACGCUCAGGUGCGAAAGCGUGGGGAGCAAACAGGAUUAGAUACCCUGGUAGUCCACGCCGUAAACGAUGUCGAUUUGGAGGUUGUGCCCUUGAGGCGUGGCUUCCGGAGCUAACGCGUUAAAUCGACCGCCUGGGGAGUACGGCCGCAAGGUUAAAACUCAAAUGAAUUGACG